CUCAGGGAGGCCACAGGGGAGGUUUGGGCUGGAGGUCCUGCUGGGGCAGCCUCAGCAUCUGGACUUUUUAUUUUUAUUUUUAUUUUUAAUGUGGUGGUGGCAGGGUGGGGCGGGGGGUGCCUCAUGCGCCGGGCGAGUGCUCUGCCACGGAGCCCCGGCCCGGCCAGCACCUGGACGAUUUAAGCCAAGAUGAGGGAUGAGAUCACGAGGACUGGAAGAGAAAGGACCGAAGGACUUGAGGGCCUGUCCCCGGGGCUUCCACAGCUGGAAGUUUGGGCUGUGACCUUGGCUUUGACAAUGAAGGUGAGAUGGCAGAGGGGCAUCUGGAACCUGGGGAAGAAGUGACCCACCAGGCCCAGCGCUCCGGAAGGUCAAGUGGGCCCGGAGCUGCUCCCAGGGUGGAGCCUCCAGGUGGUCGGGUGGAGACCGGCUCACAGAUGCACCCCAGGGUGACCUACAGGAUUGCCACUUGGAGUCACCAGGAAGGAGCAGAGAAAGAAUGUGGGCUCGACCCUGACGGGGCAUUUCAGGCAUUUCCUACUCUGUGACCUUGGAGGGUUUCUGGCUGCUCCAGUGACCAGUGACACCGCAGAACUGUGUCAGGGCAGAUGAGCUCGCGGGAAUGAGGCGCUCUCAGCCUGGCAAACCGUGAGGGGUCUCUUAAGGACUAGGGGUGACAGUUGCCCACUGAGCCUUCAUGUGAAAACACUGCCACCGCAAAACACUUCAAGGUCACAUAGCUUCUGCUGACACAAUUCAGCAGAGAACAGAUGGAGAAUUACCAACCUUCCCGAGUCCCUGCUAGCGGGAGGCCAGGACCUGACCACCCCCUGACCAACACAUAAUGCAUAUAUCAUAUUAAUUUGAAAACAAAUUUUUUAAAUAUAUAUAUUUCAGUUGUAGGUGGACACAAUGCCUUCAUUUUACUUUUAUGCUGUGCUGAGGAUUGAACCCAGUGCCUCACAUGUGCUAAGCCCCAGCCCCAGCUCUGAAAAAAUUCUUUUAAGUAAGAAGUGCAUGCACAUGAUUAGGAAUUAAAAUAAAGGCAGAGUGUAGCUCAGUGGUAAAGCUCUACUUUAGCAUGUUCCACACUCUGGGUUUGAUCCCUGGCAGAACACACACACACACACACACACACAAACAAAAAAUAGUAUAGAAAUUUUUUAUCCAGGGAAAAAGUGAGGUCUUGCCAAGCGCAAUGGCACACACCUGUAAUCCCAGUGGCUUGGGAGGCUGAGGCAGAAGGAUCAU
rnacentral:lncRNA from 1 species